GCCAAGGCGGCGGCUACCAUGCAGUCGAGCGGAAACGAGUUAUCUGAACCUUCGGGGAACGAUAACGGCGUCGAGCGGCGGACGGGUGAGUAAUGCCUAGGAAAUUGCCCUGAUGUGGGGGAUAACCAUUGGAAACGAUGGCUAAUACCGCAUGAUGCCUACGGGCCAAAGAGGGGGACCUUCGGGCCUCUCGCGUCAGGAUAUGCCUAGGUGGGAUUAGCUAGUUGGUGAGGUAAGGGCUCACCAAGGCGACGAUCCCUAGCUGGUCUGAGAGGAUGAUCAGCCACACUGGAACUGAGACACGGUCCAGACUACUACGGGAGGCAGCAGUGGGGAAUAUUGCACAAUGGGCGCAAGCCUGAUGCAGCCAUGCCGCGUGUGUGAAGAAGGCCUUCGGGUUGUAAAGCACUUUCAGUCGUGAGGAAGGUAGUGUAGUUAAUAGCUGCAUUAUUUGACGUUAGCGACAGAAGAAGCACCGGCUAACUCCGUGCCAGCAGCCGCGGUAAUACGGAGGGUGCGAGCGUUAAUCGGAAUUACUGGGCGUAAAGCGCAUGCAGGUGGUUUGUUAAGUCAGAUGUGAAAGCCCGGGGCUCAACCUCGGAAUAGCAUUUGAAACUGGCAGACUAGAGUACUGUAGAGGGGGGUAGAAUUUCAGGUGUAGCGGUGAAAUGCGUAGAGAUCUGAAGGAAUACCGGUGGCGAAGGCGGCCCCCUGGACAGAUACUGACACUCAGAUGCGAAAGCGUGGGGAGCAAACAGGAUUAGAUACCCUGGUAGUCCACGCCGUAAACGAUGUCUACUUGGAGGUUGUGGCCUUGAGCCGUGGCUUUCGGAGCUAACGCGUUAAGUAGACCGCCUGGGGAGUACGGUCGCAAGAUUAAAACUCAAAUGAAUUGACGGGGGCCCGCACAAGCGGGUGGAGCAUGGUGGUUUAAUUCGAUGCAACGCGAAGAACCCUUACCUACUCUUGACAUCCAGAAGAACUUUUCCAGAAGAAUGGAUUGGUU
rnacentral:rRNA from 1 species